rnacentral:snRNA from 1 species
CGGCUCUCUCGGGAGCUUUCCC